rnacentral:rRNA from 1 species
CACGUAAAGGGCAAGCGUUUGUCCGGAUUUAUUGGGCGUAAAGAGCUCGUAGGCGGCUUAGUAAGUCGGGUGUGAAACCUCCAGGCUCAACCUGGAGACGCCACCCGAUACUGCUGUGGCUAGAGUCCGGUAGGGGGAGCGUGGAAUUCCUGGUGUAGCGGUGAAAUGCGCAGAUAUCAGGAGGAACACCAGCGGCGAAGGCGGCGCUCUGAGCCGGUACUGACGCUGAGGAGCGAAAGCGUGGGGAGCAAACAGG